ensembl:lncRNA
UCACAGUAAACUUUUAUUUAACUAUGUACAACUUCAGUUAAAAAUUAUAUUUAAUAGAAUCUAAAUGUCAUUGAAUCAGUAAGAUUCACCAUUUCUUAUGUACCACCAAGAAAACAAUAACCUGCUAAUUAAAAUGUGAGUCUAUCAAUUGUAAAAUAUAUUCCAGUUUCAAACACGUUAAAUAAUGUAUAGUUCAGAAUAACAUAUAGUAACUAAAAACAGGUCUUUUUUUGUUUUUUCAUGCCUCCGAGACAAGUUUGAAUUUCUUAGUUUAUUUUUAAAUAAUGUAAAUGAGUGUUACAAAUUUCUCAGGAAUCAACAGCACUUUUAAGAUGAGUUGGGCAUCUUGUCCCUCCCUACCCAAACAUAUACAUUCUCCCCUUUCCUCUUAACCCCUCUAAAUGUAUCUAUUCUUUCUAGUUUUCUGCUCCUUGUUAUGAAAAUAGCCCUUCCCAUCUUAAUUUCUCUUCAUUUCUUAGUCCAUUUGGGCUAUUGUAACAAAAAUACCAUAGACUAGGUGGCUUCAACAACACUUAUUCCUCACAGUUCUGGAGACUGGGGGAGGUCAAGGUGCUGGUAGAUUCAGUGUCUGGUGAGGGUCUGCGUCAUGCUUUGUAGACAGCCAUUUUCUUGCUGUGUCCUCACAUGGUGGAAAAGGGAGACAGCUCCCCAGGGCCUCUUUUAUAAGGGCACUAAUCCCAUUCAUGAGGGGCUCCACCCUCAAAACCCAAUCACCUCCCAAAUGCCCUACCUCCAAAUAGUCCUAGGAGUUAGAAUUUCACCAUAUGAAUUUCGGGGGAUGCACACAUUCAGUGUGUAACACUUCCUUAAACCUGUUUCUUAAUGUGUGCUCUUUGCAGGAGCUGAAUACAAUGAAUGUAGUUUUUGGUGAAGAGGUUGGUGAGGGGAAGAAACAUGGACUUUGGGAAGAAGAAUGUAGGUUUGCUUCUUGGUUCACAUUUAUUAGUUUCCCUUUGGCUGCAGGUAGCAUAGUAGACAGCCCAAAUCAAAAUGGCUUGAACAAUAAUGAAAAUACAUUAUUUCAGGUGGUAUGACAUGAAAUCUGAAGGUGGGGGUCUCUCUAAGACUGGUUAAGUCCAUGGCUCAGCUGUUAUCAUAACUUCUUCCCAACUUUCCUCUCUGUUAUCUUCAGCUAGCACCCCUUGAAAUCUUAAGACAGCUGCCUCCGUUCUGGUGUCAUAAUCGCUAUUAUAAGAUUGUAAUAGAGAUGAAAAAUAGAUUUAAAAUGCAUAGACACAAUCCUAGCAUUCAGCAGGUGCUCAACCUGAGAUAUUCUGAUCUCACCAAACUCCAAAUGUGGUAUCUGUGCUUCUAAUUGGCAGGAAGAGUCCCAUGCUCAUUAGGCACAUCACCAAAUCACCUAGUAUUUUGACUUCAGCAAGCACAACUCAGAAGAAAUCCCCUCCUCCCUUUUUUUUUUUUUAAAGAGACAAGGCUCUGUCGCCCAGGCUGGAGUGCAGUGGCACAAUCAGAACUCACUGCAACCUUGAAUUCAUGGGCUCCAGUGAUCCUCCUACCUCAGACUCCUAAGUAGCUGAGACUCAAGAAGUACACCUCCAUGCCUGGUUAAUUUUAAAAUUUUCUGUAAAGAUGAUGAGAUCUUGCUAUGUUGCCAAGGCUGGUCUCAAACUCCUGGACUCAAGUGAUCCUCCUGCCUUGGCUUCCCAGAAUGCCGAGAUUAAAGGUAUGAGCCACUGCACCCAGCCUGAAGAAAUCCUUGCAUGUAACACCCCCAAUGGUUAUGCUUAUAAGAAACUAGUCAGUGAACUGAGACAAUUAUGCUGAAAGUCAGGAAAACUAUUAAAACAGGAGACAGUCAUUUAACAUCUCUGGGUCUGAAUUCCUGAAGUUCUAAGAUUGGAUCAAGUCAAAACACCAAAAGGCUACAUACCUGACCUAUAUUAUCUCACCAACAGAUAAACACUGAAUUCUGCCCGGGCACGGUGGCUCAUGCCUGUAAUCCCAGCACUUUGGGAGGCCAAGGUGGGCAGCUCAUGAGGUCAGGAGAUCGAGACCAUCCUGGUUAACAUGGUGAAACCCCGUCCCUACUAAAAAUACAAAAAAUUAGCUGGGCGUGGUGGCACACGCCUGUAGUCCCAGCUACUUGGGAGGCUGAGGCAGGAGAAUCGCUUGAACCUGGGAGGCGGAGGUUGCAGUGAGCCGAGAUCGUACCACUGCACUCCAGCCUAGGCAACAAAGUGAGACUGUCAAAAAAAAAAAAAAAUUGAGUUCUACUAUGAUGUAGCUUUUAGUAACUGAUCAUAAAAAGACCCAUAUGAAACGUGUCACACAGAAUUUUAGAAAUCAGAAUUCUGUCCAUUCUAUUCUGUGAUUUCCAUAAUGAAGACCCACAUAAGAAUUGUUUUUAUGAAAUUAAGAGAGGUUUUGCCUCCUGCCUCCUUUCUGAUAUUGAGAGGUAAGUAGUUGAUCACUUUAUCCUGUUUGCUUUGGCUUUAAAGACGGUCAGGGAUAAAUUUAAUCGAGCCAUGAUAACCAUGCUGGCCAAAUAAAUCUGUGCAGAUUUUUCCCAUAUAAUUUUCUUGCUUUAUUUCUCCUGGUUUGAAUUUUUUAGACUAUGGUUUUAUUACAUAUCUAUAUAAUAUAUAUAUACACACACACACAUAUAUAUUAUAUAUUAUAUACGCUUGGAGCGGCAUCAAGGGUCAGUGAGAUUUACUUCACAGGAGGAAACCAAGGGGAGCAGAGGGAAGUAGGAAGCCCGGCUUGGUAUGGCUACAAUGGCUAGUUGAUAGAGUACUUUGGACGAAUGGCUCUUGGGACGAAUGGCUCUUGGUUCAGGGAACGACACAGUGAGGGCAUGGCUGAAGCAGUAUACUCAGAAAUCUGCUCUGAGGAACCAGAGCAAACUGUACAGAGGAAAGGGGAGAAUAGAGGCCAGCAGCUGGCUGUGAGGUGCUGCCAUAACCCAGGUAGGAGAGACCCACCGGCUAGCAGCUGCUUUGACAACACAGGACACAUUCAUGAGAAUCUCUCUCUCCUAACUUGAUUCAACACAAGUUAAGAUAUUUCACUGACACGGGUAUGCUUGUUUCUUAAAACAAGUAUUUGAAAAAGAAGAGGUUUUUAACCUACUCUGUUUGACUUCUGAGUGCCUCAAAUCUCUGCUGUCUCUUUUAAGUGUACAAGUGAGAUGGGUGCUGCCUCAGAAAUAUAAGAAUUGUUUUUUCCCUUAUAUAUAAACUUUAUAUAUAGAAUCUAUACUUCAUAAGUAUCAAACUAUACAUGAGGUAAUAUUAGGAAAAAACUGCUAGACUGUAGUAGAAGAUUAAUUACAAGUAUUGACAAGGCUCAUGAAAAUUAAAAAAUUAAGUAUUCCUAUUUACUC